rnacentral:rRNA from 1 species
UACGGAGGGUGCAAGCGUUAUCCGGAUUCACUGGGUUUAAAGGGUGCGUAGGUGGAUCUAUAAGUCAGUGGUGAAAGCCCCGAGCUCAACUUGGGAAUUGCCAUUGAUACUGUGGAUCUUGAGUUCGGUUGAGGUAGGCGGAAUAUAUCAUGUAGCGGUGAAAUGCUUAGAUAUGAUAUAGAACACGGAUUGCGAAGGCAGCUUCCCAAGCCGUUACUGACACUGAUGCACGAAAGCGUGGGGAUCAAACAGG